rnacentral:snoRNA from 1 species
GAUUUGCUAUGAUGAUGAAAAUUCAGCUUUAAUGCCAGUUCUGCUUCAGAGAAUUCAUGAUUGAUAGAGCUGUUACUUAAUCUGAGCUUUUA